rnacentral:tRNA from 1 species
GAGGGUACAGCUCAAGUGGUAGAGCACAUGCUUAGCACGCACGAGAUCCUGGGUUCAAUCCCCAGUACCUCCA